rnacentral:lncRNA from 10 species
GAGUACUGUAUAUUUUAUUUUCAUGAAAAAUUUAUAAUAAACCACCACGUUACUCCCUGUCUCUGUGGCUGGGCCUGCCCUGGACAUUUCAUAGAAAUGGGAUCACACACGGCAUGUCCUCUGUGUCUGGCGUGUCUCAUUGAGCCUGGAGUGUCUCAUUGAGCCUGGCGUCCUGAAGGUGCGUCCACGCCGUGGCCUGAGUCAGAGCUUCUUCCUUUUCAUGGCUGGGUUGUGUUCCAGUGCAUGGAGGGCCACACUACGCCUCCUCCUCUGCUGACGGCCAUCUGGGUUGUAGCCACCGUCCGGCUGCUGGAGUCCACGGCGGCGUCUGCGCACGGGCUUCUGCGUGGCUGCGGGCUUCCACUCCACCUGGGUACAUAGCUGGGAGUGGUCGUGCUGGGUCGGAUGGGAGAUCUGUGCAUCUUUGAGGAGCCACCAGGUCGUCUCCACAGUGGCUGCUGCACCGAGUCGUCCUCCACCUGCCGCUCCCGGGGGUCUGACUUCUACACACCCACCCCAGCGCUUCUGUGAGCUUUUGUGUUUGUUUUGAGACAGGGUCUGGCUCUGUCGCCCAGGCUGGAGCACAAUGGUACCAUCUCAGCUCACUGUAACUUGUCUCCCGGGCUCAAGCAAUCCUCUUGCCUCAGCCUCCCGAGUAGCUGGGACCACAGGCAUGGACCCCCAUGUCUGGCUAAUUUUUUUUUUUUGUAGAGAUGGGAUCUUGCUAUGUUGCCUAGGCUGGUCUCAAACUCCUGGGCUCAAACAAUCCUCCCUCCUCGGCCUCCCAAAGUGCUGGGAUUAUAGGCGUGAGCUGUGGUGACCCCACUUCUGUGCUUCUGGGCACAGCCAUGCUGGGGGUGUGCUUUUUUUGUUGUUGUUGUUGACAGAGUCUCACUCUUUCGCCCAGGCUGGAGUGCAGUGGCACGAACUCGACUCACUGUAACCUCUGCCUCCCAGGUUCGUGCAGUUCUCUGCCUCAGCCUCCCGAGUAGCUGGGACUACAAGGCACCUGCCACCACAUCUGGCUAAUUUUUGUUAUUUUUAGCAGACACGGGGUUUCACCAUCUUGGCCAGGAUGGUCUUGAACUCCUGACCCCAGGUGAUCCGCCUGCCUCGGCCUCCCAAAGUGUUGGGAUUACAGGCGUGAGCCACCGCGCCUGGCCAGGGUGUAAUUUUAAUUUGCGUGUUUUUGGCUGACUCCUGGUUUAUUUUUGGAUGCGAGUUUUCUCCACUGCACUGGGUCAGGGAUGCAGUGCUGUGUUGAUGCUGGACACGAGGGAGGUGGCAGGAGACACUGAUGUGGCCGAGUGGCCGUGGUUGAAGAAGGGAUGGCAGUCGGUGCCCCUCACCCCUGCUUAGCGGCCAGCGGAUUUCUUGAGCUACCGACUCUCCUUACUGCCCAAACAUCCAGAAACACCCACGCAUGGCUAACCUAGUUUCUCUAAACCAGACCCAUAUUAAAAUUUAACUUCCUUCCUGGGCGUUUUGGGGGAGGAAUCUCCUCAUGUGCCCUGGGAGAGGGAUCUGUGAGACGUAGUCCCCCACCCCCCACCGCAGCUCAUCUCUCUUCCAGCACAGGGACUGGGCGCCGUGCCGCUUUGGGGGCACCCCCUAGUUCCAGACAGUACCUCACGCCUCAACACUGGGGCCCCUCCCAGGCUCCACUGUCCUGGGAUCCCCCACUGAGGCCCAGCUCCUGGGACCACCCACCAGCAGGGCCUUCUGGAGAAACGGACAGCAAUGGCCUGGAGUAUAGGCUGCUGGGCCCUGCCUGCGAGGCUCCUCAG